AGAUUUCCUAAUUUUGUGUUGCUUGACGCUUGUUUCUUGAGGAGGUUGAUCCGAAGGGUUGGUACCACUCAACUGUGAUGCAUCCCUUUUUGCACUUGAUGUGCUUUAUAAUGCUGCCCUCUAUAAUUGAUCAAGUAAAACUUGCAAUAGACAAUAAAAUCACUGUGCUAACAUUGAGGACGUUGUGGAAUUAUAGAAACAUAAUUGAAAGUUCCAAAACCAAG
rnacentral:lncRNA from 1 species